rnacentral:sRNA from 1 species
GCUGGGUGUGGUGGCACAUGCCUGUAAUCCCAGUGGCUCAGGAGGCUGAGACAGGAGACUCACGAGUUCAAAGCCAGCCUCAGCAAUGGCGAAGUGCUAAGUAACUCAGUGAGACCCUCUCUCUA